CCUACGGGGGGCAGCAGUGAGGAAUAUUCGGCAAUGGGGGCAACCCUGACCGAGCAACGCCGCGUGGAGGAUGACGGUUUUCGGAUUGUAAACUCCUUUUCUCAGGGAAGAGCGAGGACGGUACCUGGGGAAUAAGUCACGGCUAACUACGUGCCAGCAGCCGCGGUAAUACGUAGGUGGCAAGCGUUAUCCGGAAUUACUGGGCGUAAAGCGCACGCAGGUGGCUGCUUAAGUCUGACGUGAAAGCUCCUGGCUUAACUGGGAGAGGUCGUUGGAGACUGGGCGGCUUGAGGCGAGGAGAGGGGUGUAGAAUUCCCGGUGUAGUGGUGGAAUGCGUAGAGAUCGGGAGGAAUACCAGUGGCGAAAGCGGCACCCUGGCCUUGGCCUGACGCUCAGGUGCGAAAGCGUGGGGAGCGAACGGGAUUAGAUACCCCGGUAGUC
rnacentral:rRNA from 1 species